rnacentral:rRNA from 1 species
AGCAGCCGCGGUAAUUCCAGCUCCAAUAGCGUAUAUUAAAGUUGUUGCAGUUAAAAAGCUCGUGGUUGAAUUUCGGGAUUAGUACGUUGGUCGUGCCUUAGGUACGUACUGGUGUUACUGGUUCCUACCUUCUGACGAACCAUCAUGUCAUUAAUUUGGUGUGGCGGGGAAUCAGGACUGUUACUUUGAAAAAAUUAGAGUGUUUAAAGCAGGCUCGCGCUUGAAUACAUUAGCAUGGAAUAAUGAAAUAGGACGUUGACCCUAUUUUGUUGGUUUCUAGGAUUGACGUAAUGAUUAAUAGGGAUAGUUGGGGGCAUUAGUAUUCAAUUGUCAGAGGUGAAAUUCUUGGAUUUAUUGAAGACUAACUACUGCGAAAGCAUUUGCCAAGGAUGUUUUCAUUAAUCAAGAACGAAAGUUAGGGGAUCGAAGACGAUCAGAUACCGUCGUAGUCUUAACCAUAAACUAUGCCGACUAGGGAUCGGAUGAUGUUAAUUUUUUAAUGACUCAUUCGGCGCCUUACG